CCGUAGGCAAGCUGUCUCAAAGAUUAAGCCAUGCAUGUCUAAGUACAUGCCGUAUUAAGGCGAAACCGCGAAUGGCUCAUUAAAUCAGUUAUGGUUCCUUGGAUCGUACCUUACUACUUGGAUAACUGUGGCAAUUCUAGAGCUAAUACAUGCAGCAGAGCUCCGACCUUCGGGAACGAGCGCUUUUAUUAGACCAAAACCAAUCGGGCCUCGUGUCCGUACCUUGUGGUGACUCUGUAUAACUUUGGGCUGAUCGCACGGGCUUGUCCCGGCGACGUAUCUUUCAAGUGUCUGCCUUAUCAACUGUCGAUGGUAGGUUACGCGCCUACCAUGGUCGUAACGGGUGACGGGGAAUCAGGGUUCGAUUCCGGAGAGGGAGCCUGAGAAACGGCUACCACAUCCAAGGAAGGCAGCAGGCGCGCAAAUUACCCACUCCCAGAACGGGGAGGUAGUGACGAAAAAUAACAAUACGGGACUCUUUUGAGACCCCGUAAUUGGAAUGAGUACACUCUAAAUCCUUUAACGAGGAUCCAUUGGAGAGCAAGUCUGGUGCCAGCAGUCGCGGUAAUUCCAGCUCCAAUAGCGUAUAUUAAAGUUGUUGCGGUUAAAAAGCUCGUAGUUGGAUCUCAGCUCCUGCCGGACGGUCCGCCUACCGGUGGUUACUGUUCGCUGCAGAGCGUUCCGAUAGCUAGCUGCGAUGAUCUUCACCGGUUGUCGCUGUUGGCUGUCAAGUUUACUUUGAAAAAAUUAGAGUGCUCAAAGCAGGCGUGAUGCCUGAAUAAUUGUGCAUGGAAUAAUGGAAUAGGACCUCGGUUCUAUUUUGUUGGUUUUCGGAACACGAGGUAAUGAUUAAGAGGGACAGACGGGGGCAUUCGUAUUGCGACGCUAGAGGUGAAAUUCUUGGACCGUCGCAAGACGACUUACUGCAGA
rnacentral:rRNA from 1 species